rnacentral:pre_miRNA from 14 species
AAUAGAUGAAGAGAGCUUCCUUCAGUCCACUCAUGGAAGGGUAAGGGGUUUGAAUUACCUGCUGACUCAUUGAUUCAAACACAAUAGACAAUUAUGGGGUUAUGCUAUUGUGAAUGUGUGAAUGAUGCAGGAGGUGAAUUUCUUCCUUUUCUUCUUUGCUUGGACUGAAGGGAGCUCCCUUUUUCUAUUUA